rnacentral:rRNA from 1 species
CCUACGGGAGGCAGCAGUGAGGAAUAUUGGUCAAUGGACGAGAGUCUGAACCAGCCAAGUAGCGUGAAGGAUGACUGCCCUAUGGGUUGUACACUUCUUUUAUCAAGGAAUAAAACGAGUCACGUGUGCCUUUUUGCAUGUACUUUAUGAAUAAGCAUCGGCUAACUCCGUGCCAGCAGCCGCGGUAAUCCGGAGGAUCCGAGCGUUAUCCGGAUUUAUUGGGGUUAAAGGGAGCGUAGGUGGGUUGUUAAGUCAGGUGUGAAAGUUUGCGGCUCAACCGUAAAAUUGCAAUUGAUACUGGCAGUCUUGAGUACAGUUGAGGUAGGCGGAAUUCGUGGUGUAGCGGUGAAAUGCUUAGAUAUCACGAAGAACCCCGAUUGCGAAGGCAGCUUACUAGACUGUGUCUGACAUUGAUGCUCGAAAGUGUGGGUAUCGAACAGGAUUAGAUACCCGGGUAGUC